rnacentral:tRNA from 1 species
GGGUCGCUAGCUCAGUUGGUUAGAGCACACGCCUGAUAAGCGUGAGGUCGGUAGUUCGAGUCUACUGCGACCCACCA